rnacentral:rRNA from 1 species
CCCCUAGAUGUUCUGGGCCGCACGCGCGCUACACUGAACAGUUCAACAAGUCUUAACCUUGGCCGAUAGGUCUGGGUAAUCUUUGAACGCUGUUCGUGAUUGGGAUAGACCUUUGCAAUUAUGGGUCUUCAACGAGGAAUUACUAGUAAACGCAAGUCAUCAGCUUGCAUUGAUUACGUCCCUGCCCUUUGUACACACCGCCCGUCGCACCUACCGAUUGAAUGGUCCGGUGAAAUCUCGGGACGGCGGCUUGGUCGCUUGCGUCCGACUGCUGAAACUUGAUUAAACCAUAUCAUUUAGAGGAAGGUGAAGUCGUAACA